ACUCCUGCGGGAGGCAGCAGUGGGGAAUAUUGGACAAUGGGCGCAAGCCUGAUCCAGCCAUGCCGCGUGAGUGAUGAAGGCCCUAGGGUUGUAAAGCUCUUUCACCGGUGAAGAUAAUGACGGUAACCGGAGAAGAAGCCCCGGCUAACUUCGUGCCAGCAGCCGCGGUAAUACGAAGGGGGCUAGCGUUGUUCGGAUUUACUGGGCGUAAAGCGCACGUAGGCGGACUAUUAAGUCAGGGGUGAAAUCCCGGGGCUCAACCCCGGAACUGCCUUUGAUACUGGUAGUCUUGAGUUCGAGAGAGGUGAGUGGAAUUCCGAGUGUAGAGGUGAAAUUCGUAGAUAUGCGGAGGAACACCAGUGGCGAAGGCGGCUCACUGGCUCGAUACUGACGCUGAGGUGCGAAAGCGUGGGGAGCAAACAGGAUUAGAUACCCCUGUAGUCCC
rnacentral:rRNA from 1 species